rnacentral:rRNA from 1 species
AUUGAACGCUGGCGGCAGGCCUAACACAUGCAAGUCGAACGAGUGGCGGACGGGUGAGUAAUGUCUGGGAAACUGCCCGAUGGAGGGGGAUAACUACUGGAAACGGUAGCUAAUACCGCAUACCAUCGGAUGUGCCCAGAUGGGAUUAGCUAGUAGGUGGGGUAAUGGCUCACCUAGGCGACGUUCCCUAGCUGGUCUGAGAGGAUGACCAGCCACACUGGAACUGAGACACGGUCCAGACGCCUACGGGAGGCAGCAGUUGGGAAUAUUGCACAAUGGGCGCAAGCCUGAGGCAGCCAUGCCGCGGGUAUGAAGAAGGCCUUCGGGUUGUAAAGUACUUUCAGCGGGGAGGCGUUACCCGCAGAAGAAGCACCGGCUAACUCCGUGCCAGCAGCCGCGGUAAUUC